rnacentral:lncRNA from 1 species
UACAUAUUUCUAGCUUGCUCUAUCAAGUUCUAAGGUUUUAAAGCAUCUUCCAAUACUAAAAAGUCUAACUACACAUACAAAUAGGUGAUCAAGCCACAAGCAUGUAAAAUAAGCGUAGAUAGAAGAAAAGAACAUAAAAACAUAACAUAAAAUAGAUAGUAAGAGUAUUACAUCAAGAGUUUUAGUAGUAACUCCCCAG